rnacentral:rRNA from 1 species
UUUUAUCGGAGAGUUUGAUCCUGGCUCAGGACGAACGCUGGCGGCGUGCCUAAUACAUGCAAGUCGAGCGGACUGAUGGG